GCAGAUAUUAUGAUUUAUCUCCAAAAAUUGCCUUUCAAGUACUGAACUAUUCAUAUAGAAGAAAGUGUAAUAUAGAAAAAAUAUUUUUUAAACCCUGUUUUCUCUACAGAGAAUACAAUUUUUAAAAAAUGUGACUUCACAAACAUCUGCUGCAUAACCAGCCAGGGCUGGCCAGUGUUCUGAUGACUCUUCUAGCUGCCAAAAGUGUCCUAUGCAUGGGAGUAAUGGCUGGCUCAGAAACUGGAAUGGAUCAAAAAGAGGGCAGAGGACAGCAGGGGAACGUGAGAGAGGAAAAGAUGCCAAGUGUCCUCAGAAUCACCUGCAUAGGUCCAUUUGCUUUGUAGCUGUGUUGACUUGGAUCACUAGUACACAGUGGAAAGUAGCAGUGAUGGUUGACACUGAGUUUGACAGAGGUUUUUGGAAGAGGAUAAAUUAUAUUUAG
rnacentral:lncRNA from 1 species